rnacentral:lncRNA from 1 species
AUGGGGGACACUGUGGUGGGUGUUUACUACAGGCCACCUGAUCAGGAAGAGGAAGUGGAGGAGGCCUUCUACAGGCAGCUGGAAGUAGCCUCACGAUCACGGGCGCUGGUUCUCAUGGGGGACUUCAACCAGCCUGAUAUCUGCUGGAGACACAACACAGCUAGGCACAAACACUCCAGGAAGUUCCUGCAGAGCAUUGGUGACAACUUCUUGACACAGGUGGUGGAGGAGCCAAUGAGGAGAGGUGUGCUGCUGGACCUUGUACUAACAAACAAAGAAGGACUGGUUGGAGAUGUGAAGACUGAGGGCAGCCCAGGCUGCAGUGACCAUGAGAUGGUGGAGUUCAGGAUGCUGCGAGGAGGAAGCAGGGCACUAAGUAGGAUCAUGACCCUGGACUUCAGGAGAGCAAGCUUUGGCCUCUUCAGGGACCUACUUGGAGGAAUCCCAUGGGUUAAGGCCCUAGAAGGAAGGGGGGUUCAAGAGAGCUGGUUAAUAUUGAAACAUCACCUCCUCCAGGCUCAAGAUCAGAGCAUCCCUAUGAGUAGGAAAUCAAGCAAAGGGGGGAGGAGACCUGUGUGGAUGAGCAAGGAGCUCCUGGCAAAACUCAGCCAGAAGAAGGAAGUAUACAGAAAGUGGAAAGGGGGACAGGCCACUUGGGAGGAAUAUAGGAACGUUGUCAGAGUAUGCAGGGAUGCGGUGAGGAAGGCUAAGGCCCGUUUGGAAUUAAAUCUGGCUAGAGAUGUCAAGGACAACAGGAAGGGCUUCUUCAAAUACAUCAGUAGCAAGAGGAAGACUAGGGAAAAUGUGGGCCCGCUGCUGAAUGGGGUGGGUGCCCUGGUGACAAAGGAUGCAGAGACUGCAGAGUUACUGAAUGUCUUCUCUGCGUCAGUCUUUACUGCUCAGGCCAGCCCUCAGGAACCCCAGACCCUGGAGGCAAGAGAGAAAGUCUGGAGAAAGGAAGACUUCCCCUUGAUUGAGGAGGAUGGGGUUAGAGAUCAUUUAGUGAAACCUGACACCCACAAAUCCAUGGGCCCUGCUGGGAUGCACCCACGAGUGCUGAGGGAGCUGGCGGAUGUUAUUGCUAGGCCACUCCCCAUCAUCUUUGCAAGGUCCUGGAGAACAGGAGAGGUGCCUGAGGACCGGAAGAAAGCCAGCGUCACCCCACUCUUCAAAAAGGGCAAGAAGGAGCACCCAGGGAACUACAGGCCAGUCAGGCUCACCUCCAUYCCUCGAAAGGUGAUGGAGCAGCUCGUCCUGGGGGCCAUCUCUAAGGCUGUGGCGGACAAGAAGGUGAUCAGGAGUGGUCAGCAUGGCUUCACAAAGGGGAAAUGA